rnacentral:rRNA from 1 species
UACGUAGGGACCAAGCGUUGUUCGGAUUUACUGGGCGUAAAGGGCGCGUAGGCGGCAAUUCAAGUCAGUUGUGAAAUCUCCGAGCUUAACUCGGAACGGUCAACUGAUACUGUUUUGCUAGAGUACAGAAGGGGCAAUCGGAAUUCUUGGUGUAGCGGUGGAAUGCGUAGAGAUCCGGAAGAACACCGGUGGCGAAGGCGGUCUGCUGGGGUCGAACUGACGCUG